UAGCUAGUUGGUGAGGUAACGGCUCACCAAGGCGACGAUGCGUAGCCGACCUGAGAGGGUGAUCGGCCACACUGGGACUGAGACACGGCCCAGACUCCUACGGGAGGCAGCAGUAGGGAAUCUUCCGCAAUGGACGAAAGUCUGACGGAGCAACGCCGCGUGAGUGAUGAAGGUUUUCGGAUCGUAAAGCUCUGUUGUUAGGGAAGAACAAGUGCCGUUCAAAUAGGGCGGCACCUUGACGGUACCUAACCAGAAAGCCACGGCUAACUACGUGCCAGCAGCCGCGGUAAUACGUAGGUGGCAAGCGUUGUCCGGAAUUAUUGGGCGUAAAGGGCUCGCAGGCGGUUUCUUAAGUCUGAUGUGAAAGCCCCCGGCUCAACCGGGGAGGGUCAUUGGAAACUGGGGAACUUGAGUGCAGAAGAGGAGAGUGGAAUUCCACGUGUAGCGGUGAAAUGCGUAGAGAUGUGGAGGAACACCAGUGGCGAAGGCGACUCUCUGGUCUGUAACUGACGCUGAGGAGCGAAAGCGUGGGGAGCGAACAGGAUUAGAUACCCUGGUAGUCCACGCCGUAAACGAUGAGUGCUAAGUGUUAGGGGGUUUCCGCCCCUUAGUGCUGCAGCUAACGCAUUAAGCACUCCGCCUGGGGAGUACGGUCGCAAGACUGAAACUCA
rnacentral:rRNA from 1 species